rnacentral:lncRNA from 1 species
AGCCCCGGCCCCGCGCUUGUCACCCAGACAAGAGAUCAAUAACUAAUUUCACUGCAGCAGCAGCGCCGGGUUUUUUCCAAUAAUUGUGAGCCGGCGGUGGGGAAUGAGGCUCUCAGCACCGCUCCACACCAGCCUGCACCCGAUCAAUCGCCACACCGCUGGGGCAGCAGGAAAACUCAUUUUUCUCCUUUUCUUCCCUCUCCUCCCUUCUCUCCUUCCCGAUCCCACUCCGUUCCCUCCUCCUCCUGCUGUGGCGCUGCCUGAGCUGGGGCUGUGUCCCCAUCCCCUCGCUGGGUGGGAUGUCAGCUUGGGCUGUCCCCAGCUGGCCCCACACGCUGGGGACAAGGGCUGAGCCUCCUGUGCUGCCUCAGCAGCCCGGAGCACUUCGGUCCCUGCCACCCAGGGGCCGGACCCGGCUCCUUGUGCACAGCACCGGCCCCAGCAGCUUGGCUGAAGGUGGCAGAGAGGAGUCUGAGGACAUCCUUUCCUGCUCCUGCCCAUGCUGUUGUGAGCCACCAUGAGCUCCAAGGCAGAAGGUGUUGCUGGUUCCCAGCUCACAGGAGAACCUUUGGAACCACCCUCACCAGAGACCACAGUGGACAAAAUCAAAUCUUUAAAGGCUCAAGGAGCUCGGCACCAUUAACAUUCACUCCCAACGCGUGUGAGCUGUGCUGCAUCCCCAAGUGCUGCUCCUGCUGCCAGCCCUGGUACCCAGCCUGGCCAUCAGCUUCUCCUUCCAACAGCCUGGGCUGGGAGAACCCCUCCACCCCCUAAAUCCACUCCUGGAGUCCCCUAAAUCCACACCUGGAAUCCCCCACACCCACACCUGGAAUCCCACAGCUGGAAUCCCCCACAUCCACACCUGGCUGCUGUCACAGCACAGCAAAGGAGGAUGGCAUCCUGAGCUCCAGCUCUGCUCUGCAGAUUAAAGCCAAGGGGCUCUGGGAAGAACACCCAAGGCAGAGGAAUUGCCAAGAGUUACCGGGUUUGGUGAUUUAAGUCAAGCAGAUUGGUGACCUGGGGCUUUCCUGGAGUGACAAUUUGCAGGCUUGCUUUUCAUUAAUAAUGGUUAACUAACAAAUUACUGUUGUUAUUAUUACUAUUAUUACUGUUAUUAUCAUUAAUGUUAUUAAAUAUUGCAGGCCAGGCUGCCUUCCCUGUGCUUGGCACAGCCUCAUCCAUCCAGCCUUGGCUCUGAGUGCUCCAUAGGUCUGUGUAGAUUCAUGUGCAAUCUAUAGAAUCUAUACAGGAAGGUGUUUGAUCUGAGUUUGCUUUCUUUGCUUAGAUGAGCUCUGAAGGGGCCCAAGAGCUUGGGAAAUUGGGAACAGAGGAAACUGGAGCCUGGUGGGUUUAAUGGUUGGCUGGAUUGUGGUGGGGAGCACCAUGACCUGUGCCCAAACCCAGCUGGGUUUCACCCCUGGGGUUCCCCAAAAGCUUUUCCAGCCCCCAUUUCAGGCCCUUUUUUCCUACACAGGUGCCCCAGCAGCAGCACUAACCCACAGGUGCAGCCA